CGGAGGGUGCAAGCGUUAUCCGGAUUCACUGGGUUUAAAGGGUGCGUAGGCGGGCAGGUAAGUCCGUGGUGAAAUCUCUGAGCUUAACUCAGAAACUGCCAUGGAUACUAUUUGUCUUGAAUAUUGUGGAGGUAAGCGGAAUAUGUCAUGUAGCGGUGAAAUGCUUAGAUAUGACAUAGAACACCAAUUGCGAAGGCAGCUUGCUACACAGUUAUUGACGCUGAGGCACGAAAGCGUGGGGAUCAAACAGGAUUAGAUACCCUGGUAGUCCACGCCCUAAACGAUGAUUACUCGACAUCAGCGAUACACUGUUGGUGUCUGAGCGAAAGCAUUAAGUAAUCCACCUGGGAGGUACGACCGCAAGGUUG
rnacentral:rRNA from 1 species